UGUAAACAGUGCCUGACACAUAUUAGCUGCUCAAAAAAAUGUAUUGAAUGAAAACUCUAGGGCCUGCUAAGAGCCAUGCACUCUACUAGGUAUUUUAUGAAAUUAUCUAUCUCAAUCUUCAUACUAUCACUUUAAGGCAAGUUUCCCAAUCCUUAGAGAUUUUUCUAAAAUAAUACACCUGUGAAAAGGAGCCAGGCAAUAAUUAUAGAAAAAGCUGCUUUAUCAGGAUUCGAGUGCCAUAUCUGCUGGUAACUUUGUGGUUCACUUACAUAAGCCACAUAUCCCCUGAGGAACUCAGUUUCCAUGUUUGUAUCAUGGGGAUAAUGCUUGUCCCCUCUACUGCAGGUCAUCAGGAGAAUAAAUGUGAAUAUAAACACUUAAUAUGUUAGCAUUGAUGGGCAAAUGUCUAUCAUAGUAAGUGAUGUGUUGGGUGGGGGUUUCUGCAGAGAUUUGCUACAAGUUGUUUUGCUAUAUGAAGGCAAGAGAGCAGCGGACAGCUAUACAGUACCCUCUUACACAGGAACAGAACAUCCAGAAACCCAGAGGGCCCCAGGAAAGGCUCCGAACUCAGUAAGGUGAUGGCCAGGCCCAACUCCAAACUGUUGUCCUCUCCCUCUCAAUUGAAUCUUUAAAUGGGCCUAUUAGGGACCUAACAGUUGAUAGCUAAUUUGACUGAAAAAUUUUCUUUAGCAUCCAAACCAGUGAUCUUCAAGCCAUUCCAGGCAGAAAGAACAGCAACUGAGAAGCCCCUAAGGUAGGAAGGAGCUUGGUGUGCCACUGAGGGAGGAACUGCAAAUACCCAGGCAAAUCUGAAGCAGGAAGUCCAAGUUACAAGGUCAUUCCAGGAAAAGGGAGGGUGAAAGACUCUGGCACCUUAGGGCACCACUGGCCAACAUAAACUCUCUUGGGAUUGCCUGCGAACCUGACCACCACACACAACACUAGGCCUCUGAGAAACUGCAUUAUGAUUGAAGGAAACCAAAAUAUUGCACCCCAAAAUAUACUUCUUUGACAUAUUUUGAGAUGGCUGUUCGGAGGGCAAAACAGAAGUAGGCCAGUAAAGCUGUCAUUUGUUCGGGAGAUUUGUGUCUGUAGAGUAUCUGCACUGAUGCAGCCAGGCUUUCUCU
rnacentral:lncRNA from 1 species